AAAAAUAAAAAAAAAAAAAAAAACCAUCAUUCAUCAACCAUUUGAAUUUUACUCUUCAACUUUCUCUGGCUCCUCAGAUGCAGGGGCAGAUUCCUCUGUUUUCUCUGCUUCGGGUUCUGCAACUGGGGCUGCUUCGGGUUCAGCUACGGGUGCUGGAGCCUCCUCAACGGGUGCUGCAGCAACCGGUUCCUCAGCUGCGGCUGCAGGUUCUUCUGCAGCCACAGGUUCUUCAACUGGAGCUGCAACAGGUUCUGCUGCAACUGCCACUGGCUCUUCUGAUUCUGCGGCUACAGGUUCUGCAGCCGCAGGCUCUUCAGCUACAGGGGCUGCUACUUCCUCCGCAGCAGGAGCAGCCUCUUCUGGUGCUGGUGCUGAUUCGACCUCAACAUCCUUUUCUACAGCGGGGGCUGGUUCCUCCGCCUUGUUUACCUCUGGAGCUGGGGUAACUUCAACCUCAGCUGGAGUAGUCUCUACUGGUGCUACUGGUGCAGAUUCAACCUCAACACUGGCCAUUGGAAGAAAGUUGGAAAAUAAGAAGAUGGGAAAGAGGAAAAUAAAUUAAGAAAUGGAAGGGGGCAAAAUAUUUGUAA
rnacentral:misc_RNA from 1 species